AUUGAACGCUGGCGGCAUGCCUUACACAUGCAAGUCGAACGGCAGCACGGGUGCUUGCACCUGGUGGCGAGUGGCGAACGGGUGAGUAAUACAUCGGAACAUGUCCUGUAGUGGGGGAUAGCCCGGCGAAAGCCGGAUUAAUACCGCAUACGAUCUACGGAUGAAAGCGGGGGACCUUCGGGCCUCGCGCUAUAGGGUUGGCCGAUGGCGGAUUAGCUAGUUGGUGGGGUAAAGGCCUACCAAGGCGACGAUCAGUAGCUGGUCUGAGAGGACGACCAGCAACACUGGGACUGAGACACGGCCCAGACUCCUACGGGAGGCAGCAGUGGGGAAUUUUGGACAAUGGGCGAAAGCCUGAUCCAGCAAUGCCGCGUGUGUGAAGAAGGCCUUCGGGUUGUAAAGCACUUUUGUCCGGAAAGAAAUCCUUGGCUCUAAUACAGUCGGGGGAUGACGGUACCGGAAGAAUAAGCACCGGCUAACUACGUG
rnacentral:rRNA from 1 species